AUAUUUGCAAAUGGUUUUAUUUGCUUCUGUUCUUAUCAGCUUAAUAUCUGAUAUAGUCCAUAUUUGGGGCUCUAGAUAAUAAACUGAUUUUUAGAACAAAGUAAAGACUUAGGGGUUUGCUCUACCUUUGCCAUGACUUAUCCUACUGUCUAACCCAUA
rnacentral:snRNA from 1 species